AACGGCGGCCGUAACUAUAACGGUCCUAAGGUAGCGAAAUUCCUUGUCGGGUAAGUUCCGACCUGCACGAAUGGCGUAAUGAUGGCCAGGCUGUCUCCACCCGAGACUCAGUGAAAUUGAACUCGCUGUGAAGAUGCAGUGUACCCGCGGCAAGACGGAAAGACCCCGUGAACCUUUACUAUAGCUUGACACUGAACAUUGAGCCUUGAUGUGUAGGAUAGGUGGGAGGCUUUGAAGUGUGGACGCCAGUCUGCAUGGAGCCGACCUUGAAAUACCACCCUUUAAUGUUUGAUGUUCUAACGUGGACCCGUUACCCGGGUUGCGGACAGUGUCUGGUGGGUAGUUUGACUGGGGCGGUCUCCUCCUAAAGAGUAACGGAGGAGCACGAAGGUUGGCUAAUCCUGGUCGGACAUCAGGAGGUUAGUGCAAUGGCAUAAGCCAGCUUGACUGCGAGCGUGACGGCGCGAGCAGGUGCGAAAGCAGGUCAUAGUGAUCCGGUGGUUCUGAAUGGAAGGGCCAUCGCUCAACGGAUAAAAGGUACUCCGGGGAUAACAGGCUGAUACCGCCCAAGAGUUCAUAUCGACGGCGGUGUUUGGCACCUCGAUGUCGGCUCAUCACAUCCUGGGGCUGAAGUAGGUCCCAAGGGUAUGGCUGUUCGCCAUUUAAAGUGGUACGCGAGCUGGGUUUAGAACGUCGUGAGACAGUUCGGUCCCUAUCUGCCGUGGGCGCUGGAGAACUGAGGGGGGCUGCUCCUAGUACGAGAGGACCGGAGUGGACGCAUCACUGGUGUUCGGGUUGUCAUGCCAAUGGCACUGCCCGGUAGCUAAAUGCGGAAGAGAUAAGUGCUGAAAGCAUCUAAGCACGAAACUUGCCCCGA
rnacentral:rRNA from 1 species